CAGGUGUACACACAGGUUCUCACAGACACAUACAGGUGUACACACAGGUUCUCACAGACACAUACAGGUGUACACACAGGUUCUCACAGACACAUACAGGUGUACACACAGGUUCUCACAGACACAUACAGGUGUACAAACAGGUUCUCACAGACACACACAGGUGUACACACAGGUUCUCACAGACACAUACAGGUGUACACACAGGUUCUCACAGACACAUACAGGUGUACACACAGGUUCUCACAGACACAUACAGGUGUACACACAGGUUCUCACAGACACAUACAGGUGUACACACAGGUUCUCACAGACACAUACAGGUGUACAAACAGGUUCUCACAGACACAUACAGGUGUACACACAGGUUCUCACAGACACAUACAGGUGUACAAACAGGUUCUCACAGACACAUACAGGUGUACAAACAGGUACUCACAGACACAUACAGGUGUACACACAGGUUCUCACAGACACAUACAGGUGUACACACAGGUACUCACAGACACACACAGGUGUACAAACAGGUUCUCACAGACACAUACAGGUGUACAAACAGGUUCUCACAGACACAUACAGGUGUACAAACAGGUUCUCACAGACACACACAGGUGUACAAACAGGUUCUCACAGACACACACAGGUGUACAAACAGGUUCUC